rnacentral:lncRNA from 1 species
CAGGGUGGCAGAAUUUGAGGGAGAAAGAAAUGAACUUAGAGCUGAGCUUGCCAAGGAUAAGAAAAUGAAUGAAGGCAUGCUACAACAAAUGCUUAACCUGCUAAAAGUCCAACCCUCUAGCUCAUCCCAGACUUUGGAGUCCUGCGUCUAGUAUCCAGUGUAGUUUCCCCCCUCAAGUGACAAGUUUAUAUGGUUCUUGGUCUGUUUUCUAUUUUUUUGCUUAUGGUUUGAAGUUUUAUGUUUUGUUUUGUGGACUGCU